rnacentral:rRNA from 1 species
GACGAACGCUGGCGGCGUGCUUAACACAUGCAAGUCGAACGCUGAAGCUCAGCUUGCUGGGUGGAUGAGUGGCGAACGGGUGAGUAACACGUGAGUAACCUGCCCUCUUCUUUGGGAUAACGCCCGGAAACGGGUGCUAAUACUGGAUAUUCACUGAUUCUCGCAUGGGGGUUGGUGGAAAGGUUUUUUCUGGUGGGGGAUGGGCUCGCGGCCUAUCAGCUUGUUGGUGGGGUGAUGGCCUACCAAGGCUUUGACGGGUAGCCGGCCUGAGAGGGUGACCGGUCACAUUGGGACUGAGAUACGGCCCAGACUCCUACGGGAGGCAGCAGUGGGGAAUAUUGCACAAUGGGCGAAAGCCUGAUGCAGCGACGCCGCGUAAGGGAUGGAGGCCUUCGGGUUGUAAACCUCUUUCGCUCAUGGUCAAGCCGCAGCUUUGGGUUGUGGUGAGGGUAGUGGGUAAAGAAGCGCCGGCUAACUACGUG